GGCCCUCAUCCUCCUCUGUCAGUGACGGACCCACUAACGCCUCAUGAGUGAUGAAGGCCCUUGGCGUCGUAAAGCUCUGACAGAGGGAAAGAAGUGUAGAGUGGCUAAUAUCCACAUUACUUGACGGUACCCUCAAAGGAAGCACCGGCUAACUCCGUGCCAGCAGCCGCGGUAAUACGGGGGGUGCAAGCGUUGUUCGGAUUUAUUGGGCGUAAAGCGCGUGUAGGCGGUUUUAUAAGUCUGAUGUGAAAGCCCUGGGCUCAACCCGGGAAGUGCAUUGGAUACUGUAAGACUUGAAUACGGGAGAGGGCAGUGGAAUUCCUAGUGUAGGAGUGAAAUCCGUAGAUAUUAGGAGGAACACCGGUGGCGAAGGCGGCUGCCUGGACCGAUAUUGACGCUGAGACGCGAAAGCGUGGGUAGCAAACAGGAUUAGAUACCCUGGUAGUCCACGCUGUAAACGAU
rnacentral:rRNA from 1 species